rnacentral:rRNA from 1 species
GAUCCUGGCUCAGAAUCAACGCUGGCGGCGUGCCUAACACAUGCAAGUCGAACGCGAAAGGGACUUCGGUCCUGAGUAGAGUGGCGAACGGGUGAGUAACGCGUGGGUGAUCUACCCUCGAGUGGGGGAUAACGUUCCGAAAGGGACGCUAAUACCGCAUGAUGUUCCGGGUUUGAAGACCUGGAAACCAAAGCCGGGGACCGCAAGGCCUGGCGCUCAAGGAGGAGCCCGCGUCUGAUUAGCUAGUUGGCGGGGUAAUGGCCCACCAAGGCGACGAUCAGUAGCCGGCCUGAGAGGGCGGACGGGCCACACUGGGACUGAGACACGGCCCAGACUCCUACGGGAGGCAGCAGUGGGGAAUUGUUCGCAAUGGGCGCAAGCCUGACGACGCAACGCCGCGUGGAGGAUGAAGGUCUUCGGAUUGUAAACUCCUGUUGAUCGGGACGAAAAGCUCUGACCCAACACGUCAGAGACUGACGGUACCGGUUGAGGAAGCCACGGCUAACUCUGUGCCAGCAGCCGCGGUAAUACA